AUAGAGCAACAGCUUCUAUGCAGUUUUGAAAGGCCCCGGUUAAUCUUCUGCUCCGCCAAGAAUAGAGAGAUUAUCGGGGUUUUUGCUU
rnacentral:antisense_RNA from 1 species